UGAAGGAGUAAACCAGACAUUUCUUGUCUCCUGUUAUACAGAGGCUUCAGCAUGGAUUUAAUUUUAACAUGGGUAUUUCAGCUAUUUUUGAUGAAACACUGACUAUAGUAUUUUGUUUCAUCUUUGAAUCUAAAAUAUAACUUUUAGCCUAUUAUUUUAAAACAGGAAAUACUGCAAGGACCUGUCUCUUUGAAGGUGAACCAGGUCAUCUUGUUCCAUCAUCAUCACAAUUUCUGGUAGAGAGUGAUCUGUUCCUUGUUGCAGGACAAAUGAUUGGACUUUCUUUCCUACAUGGUGGACCUCGCUGGCUGGAGUCAGCCAAGCAAUAGUCCAUGUACUACUAGAGGUUCACCUGAGACUGCUACAGAGCAGAUAGAAGACUGUCCUGACCAUGAUAUUCCUGAAACCAGAAAACUGGUCACUGGAAGGAGAUGACGGCAGGUGAAACAAACACGUAAAGGACUCAAAGAAACCAGAGUGUGGCCGCUGCUGACUGAAAGGAAAGAUGUGGAUAUCUUUCCGAGGGAAUGUGAAAAUUCACUCACCCCUUUGAUGCUGCUUCCCUGUAUCUGCUGACCCUCUGAUAGCAGUGUGGAUGAUGACGACGAGCACGAUUCUUCACAAGAAGAUAGAUGUCACAUCUCAGGGUAUCUGCAUCACUUCACUGAGACAGGUAUAAAUCUUUACUAAUUUGUUUUAUUAGGUGUGUAUGAAAUGUGCUUGAUACAGUUUGCUGGAUUUUACAGCACUGGGUAUAUGUCUGAUGACCUGGAUUAGAUCAUGGAGUGGUGGCAGGGAUGAAAACUGAAAGACUAUUUCACCACUGCUUCCUUCAAGAU